UACGGAGGAUCCGAGCGUUAUCCGGAUUUAUUGGGUUUAAAGGGUGCGCAGGCGGAAGAUUAAGUCGGUGGUGAAAGUCUGUCGCUUAACGGUAGGAUUGCCAUUGAUACUGUUAGACUUGAAUAUGGAUGAGGUAGGCGGAAUGUGUAGUGUAGCGGUGAAAUGCAUAGAUAUUACACAGAACACCGAUUGCGAAGGCAGCUUACUAAUCCAUCAUUGACGCUGAGGCACGAAAGCGUGGGGAGUCAAACAGGAUUA
rnacentral:rRNA from 1 species